AGUUGGCAGGAGGAGAUAAAGAAGCCAGCCUGGCAUCCUUAUAAGUUUGUUAAGGCUGAAGACGGAAGUGACAAGGAAGUUGUAAAUGAUGAGGACCCAAGACUGAAGCAAUUGUGGAUCGAAUAUGGUGACGAUGUGUGCAAUGCAGUGAAGACCGCUCUGAGCGAAGUAAACGAGUACAACCCGAGCGGAAGGUACGUGGUGUCAGAGCUGUGGAAUUUCAGGAAAAACCGUAAGGCGACGAUGAAAGAGGUGCUGAGGUUCAUCUUCCAGCAGAUGGAGGUGCCCGGCAAGCGCAGGAGGGGUUGA
rnacentral:rRNA from 1 species